rnacentral:rRNA from 1 species
CUUGACAUCCAGAGAAUUUAGCAGAGAUGCUUUAGUGCCUUCGGGAACUCUGAGACAGGUGCUGCAUGGCUGUCGUCAGCUCGUGUUGUGAAAUGUUGGGUUAAGUCCGCAACGAGCGCAACCCUUAUCCUUUGUUGCCAGCGCGUAAUGGUGGGAACUCAAAGGAGACUGCCGGUGAUAAACCGGAGGAAGGUGGGGAUGACGUCAAGUCAUCAUGGCCCUUACGAGUAGGGCUACACACGUGCUACAAUGGCGCAUACAAAGAGAAGCGACCUCGCGAGAGCAAGCGGACCUCAUAAAGUGCGUCGUAGUCCGGAUUGGAGUCUGCAACUCGACUCCAUGAAGUCGGAAUCGCUAGUAAUCGUAAAUCAGAAUGUUACGGUGAAUACGUUCCCGGGCCUUGUACACACCGCCCGUCACACCAUGGGAGUGGGUUGCAAAAGAAGUAGAUAGCUUAACCUUCGGGAGGGCGUUUACCACUUUGUGAUUCAUGACUGGGGUGAAGUCGUAACAAGGUAAGCGUAGACGU